rnacentral:rRNA from 1 species
AUACGUAGGUGACAAGCGUUAUCCGGAUUUACUGGGCGUAAAGGGCGUGUAGGCGGUCUUGCAAGUCAGAAGUGAAAUUCCUGAGCUCAACUCGGGCGCUGCUUCUGAAACUGCAGGACUUGAGUGCUGGAGGGGAUAGCGGAAUUCCUAGUGGAGCGGUAAAAUGCGCAGAUAUUAGGAAGAACACCGGUGGCGAAGGCGGCUAACUGGACAGUAACUGACGCUGAGGCGCGAAAGCGUGGGGAGCAAACAGGAUUAGAUACCCUGGUAGUCCACGCCGUAAACGAUGAAGACUAGGUGUAGGGGGUAUCGACUCCCUCUGUGCCGCAGUUAACACAAUAAGUAUUCCGCCUGGGGAGUACGGCCGCAAGGUUGAAACUCAAAUGAAUUGGCGGGG